CGUCUUCGCCGCGGCAUCAGAUGACGUGGCAGUGCCACUUCAGCUAAUAAAAAAAAUAAAAAACAAAAAAAAUAAAAGAGAGAGGCAAAUAUCAUGGAAUGGAGGGAAAUAGAUUUUGGGAGGGAUAUGCAGAGCGAAACCAGAGAGAGGGAGAUCUGAGCAGAGACGUCGCCCUAGCCAUUGUGCCGUGCGUCUCCGGUCGAUGUCUUUGGUAGUUGUCACCGUCCGGUUGUCUGGGUCGCCGUCGUCACGUACCCGUAACUCUGAGUCGCAGCGGGGUGGGUGAGAUAGAGAUCUGUGGUUGCCAUGAGAGGUGAUUCGGUUCUCCCAACCCAGUCCUCCGCAUAUUCUUGUUUGGGUACUUGACACAAGCAGAGUUCGGGCCUCGUGGGUGGAUCUGUGUCAGGCCAUCAUCUCAGUGAAAAUUAUUCUUGGAGCUUAUAUAUCCUUGCAUAUAUUGACAAUGCAUUUGUCUCAUUCUCAGCAUGGGAAAUGGGAAAGAACAGCCAUCUACGCAAACAUCAUCUAACUCAAAUCCCCCAUCCGUGAUGCACUUUGGGUUUGAUGGAUCACAAUCAUUGCACCAUGGGAUGGACGGAUCACAACCACUGAAAUGAUUUUUGUGGCUUGAAUGGAUUUUUGUUGACUUCAAUGUAUUUUUUGUGGACUUUAAUGUAUUUUUGUGGACUUUAAUGUAUUUGUUUGUGGAUUGAAUGUAAUCUAGGGAUUUUUUAUUUUUGUAGAUUUAAUGUAUUUUUAUGGACUUUAAUAUAUUUGUUUUGUAGAUUUAAUGUAUUUAUGUGGCUUGAAUGUAAUCCAAAGAUUUUUUUGUAGAUUUAAUGUAUUUUUGUGGCUUGAAUGUAAUAUAGGGAUUUUUUGUGGAUUU